rnacentral:rRNA from 1 species
GGGUCAGUAGGUUGGUCGUGCCACUGGUACGUACUGGUCUCACUGAUUCCUCCUUCCUGAAGAACCGUAAUGCCAUUAAUUUGGUGUUGCGGGGAAACAGGACUGUUACUUUGAAAAAAUUAGGGUGUUUAAAGCAAGCUAACGCUUGAAUACAUUAGCAUGGAAUAAUGAAAUAGGACGACCGAUCCUAUUUUGUUGGUUUCUAGGAUUGACGUA